UCAAAAUAAAGUAUUUUCACGUGAUGACAAUCAUAAAAUUUUCAUUGGAGUAGCCACCCCCAACUUCUACCCCCUUCUUUCCUCCACUAACAAACAAAGACUUUUUUUUCUUGUUCUCCUACUCUUCAAUGGAGCUAAUCUGAGCUGCUGUGCCGUGUGAUUUUUCUCAAGAACAAACCGUGGUGCGCAUAACGUCAUCAUUGUUAUUGUUGUUGUGCUAGUUUGUUGACCUGCAUUGUCUCUUAAGAUGGAUGGUGAUCUGAUCAUUAUCAUAUAUCACCAUGGGAUUUUUUUACACCAAACCCAGAUGGAAGUUUGUCAUACAUUGGUGGCCAGACCUGUGAGUUGCCUGGAUUGGAUGUAGACACUAUUGAUGUCUUCGCAAUUCGAGACUACCACAAGUAAAUUCGUUAUGACAAGGUGACUUAGUGUUGGUGAUUGGCUCCGAAUAGGUUUCUGAAGACUGGUAUCCGAGCUCUUAUUCAUGUUGAUAAAGAGUUCAAUCAUGCCUUUGUCUCGGUUCGUGUCAACUGAAAUGCCUUUGUCUGCAUUAACACAUUAAUGGUUUGCUAUAGUGGAAUGUAAAUUUACAAGGUUUAAAAAGUAAAAACUUAUUUAUAUAGGGUCAUGGCUAGCCUCUAUUGGUUUUUCGGCAUUCGGAAGUGAUAAAUCUCAGCAUUUAUUUUAGGAUUAAAAUGAAAAUUGACAAUGCUAAUCUUAUCUUAGUCAGGAAGAUAGUUUCAAGCUUUAUAUUUUUUUCCUUUGGUCUGUCUUUUCGAUGUACUGUAAAUAUUAUACUUGCAAUUAAUUAUAAAAUAUGUAUAUCAGUUAUCACAAUCGUUCUCUCUAUUAUUUGGUAUUUUAAAGUUGAAUUCUAUUAUAAGUUUCAGGUCUGCAAGGACUCAAAAAUGUUUUCCAUGAAUUGAGAAUCCUAAAAUUUAUACCCACUAUAGCUGCACAUAGGGGGUUAAAAGAAAAGCAUAGUCCUUAUAAGCCUCUAAUCGUAAUAUUUUAUUCGCCGAGCUGUGUAACUCUAGCUUGUGACCCAAGUGGGGGCAACUAAGGUGAUGGAACAAGUGCUUCUGGCCUUGCUAGGUCGGGCUUGCAAGGGCAAAUUGUUGGCCUGCCCACUCCAAGUUGGAGUUGGGCCCGGUAGUCUGGGCGAAGGCCCAAGGCCUCUCGGCUCCUAGAAUGGAGGGCAUUGCGUGAGGCUGGCUUAACAGAGCAACAACCACUUCCUGUCCCCAACAGUGGAGGGAUUACAGGCCGCCGCUCUUCUGGCCCAAUAUGGCCUGGUAGGCCUAGCUAUCGUGGACCAUCAUUCUUUAUAAUUUUCA